UGGGGAAUUUUGGACAAUGGGGGCAACCCUGAUCCAGCCAUGCCGCGUGCGGGAAGAAGGCCUUCGGGUUGUAAACCGCUUUUAGCCGGGACGAAGGCGCUACGGAUAACACCCGUGGCGGUUGACGGUACCGGCGGAAUAAGCACCGGCUAACUACGUGCCAGCAGCCGCGGUAAUACGUAGGGUGCGAGCGUUAAUCGGAAUUACUGGGCGUAAAGCGUGCGCAGGCGGUGCGUUGUGUCGGCGGUGAAAUCCCCGGGCUUAACCUGGGAAUUGCCGUUGAAACUGGCGUACUUGAGUGUGGCAGAGGGGGGUGGAAUUCCGCGUGUAGCAGUGAAAUGCGUAGAGAUGCGGAGGAACACCGAUGGCGAAGGCAGCCCCCUGGGCUAACACUGACGCUCAGGCACGAAAGCGUGGGGAGCAAACAGGAUUAGAUACCCUGGUAGUCCACGCCCUAAACGAUGUCAACUAGGUGUUCGGGAAGCGAUUUCUGAGUACCGUAGCUAACGCGUGAAGUUGACCGCCUGGGGAGUACGGCCGCAAGGUUA
rnacentral:rRNA from 1 species